UACGAAGGGUGCAAACGUUGCUCGGAAUUAUUGGGCGUAAAGCGCACGUAGGCGGCUUAGCAAGUCGGAAGUGAAAUCCCUCGGCUCAACCAAGGAAGUGCUUUCGAAACUGCUGAGCUUGAGUACUUAAGAGGAUCGCGGAAUUCCCGGUGUAGAGGUGAAAUUCGUAGAUAUCGGGAGGAACACCAGUGGCGAAGGCGGCGAUCUGGGAAGAUACUGACGCUGAGGUGCGAAAGCGUGGGGAGCGAACAGG
rnacentral:rRNA from 1 species